rnacentral:snoRNA from 1 species
AUCACAGAAGAUGCAGAUAAAAAGCUGGCGAUAGUAAAGCCAUGCUGUGAGUUUUAAGGACAUUAAAGUCGUUAAAGUCUCUAAAAAUGACUAUAGCA